CAAUCAGAAAGCCUCUAUUUGAACUAUGGACGCGGUCUCUUAUGGAAAGUCAUCGUAACAGGAUUCGUGUUCUUAACCGACUUUGGCAAUUCGAUUACGCAAUUAUUACUCACCUAUUACUGAUUCAAUUUCAAAUUCCAAUAUGGAUGCCAACGUACUUUUUUAAACGGACAUUUGAUAUUUUGCUUACGUACUGUAUGUAUUUAUUUUAUUUUUAUUCACUCGUUUUUAUUUUAUUAUUCCAAAGUAUUUAUACUUUUGUAAUGAACAUUUAUCACAUAUUAAUAUUUCUAUUUAAAUAAUUUGAAAAUAUUUAUUUUAUUUUCCUUGUUAUUAAUAUAAAAAUUAUCAUAAAAAAUUUACAAUUCGUAGCUUUAAAAAAAUAAUAAUAUUUUCUGAAGCAAAUGUUCAAUAGAAAAAAAGAAGAAAAAUAUGGAAAGAUUUUGCUUCUUUAUUAUUAAUCUUCUUAUUACUAAUUUAGUUUCAGAAAAUUUUAAUGAUCGUGCGCAAUGCGAUCUGUAAAUUCAGUGUUUGCUCCGUAAUAGUUUUUCUACUAUUUUAGAGCACAAUAGCUCUUAAUUAAAUUUAUUUAUUAUACUCGCGAAAUUAAAAUUAGUGUUUGUUCACCGAUUGUAAAUUGUAAAGAUAUUAGUCCUUUAUUUUUUAUUUUUUUUUUUCUUUAUUCAUUUCGGAAUAGGAUAAAGUGCUUCUUCAAGGGAAUAAAGCGAUCAUCCACCACAAAGAGGUAAUUAAUUUUAUUUAUUUCCUAUUUAUUCCAACUUUUUCAAAUAAGUUACUGUAUUUAAAUUAUAAUGUUUCAUAUUUUGUUCAUUUCCUUGAUGCCCAAAUUUUUUCCACUGGGAUUGUGGAAAUACUCAAUACUUCUGAAUCACUUUAAACGUUAAAAAAAUUGCAAAGAUAAUUCUAUAACAAUAUAUAUAGUCAUAAAACAGAUUGAAUUUCAUUAUGUUAUUUAAAUUUGAGUAUGUAGAAUAGCGUAUUAUAAUUGUUUCCGGAAAUUUUUCAAUUUUCUUCUCUUUUGUUUUUUUUUUGUCAGUAUGAUCAAUAUUGCAAAUAUAAUAAAGCAUUCAUCGUGGUUGAUUUAAAAAAUUUUCUAUUUUAUAAAAAAAAUAUUUUUUCAAUGUUGCAAUAUAAAAUGAAUAUUUCACUCGCACUUUGUUGCUCGAGUUUAUAUCGAGUGGAAGAUAUUUUUUUUGUGGCCCUUCUGGCUAUUAAGUUGUUUUCUUUUUCAGCAUCCUCCAACAUCACGUUUUGCAUUUGUUGCAGAAAAUAUUGCUAUAAAAUAUAUAUUUUUCUUUAUUUUCAUUUAUGAAUAUUUUUCCAAGUCUUUUAAAAUAUCGAAUUUAAAUUCUUUUCAAUAAAUUUUUUAAAACCAAUAAUGAUAAAUGUUCAUUAUAAAUUUUAUUUUUUUAUAUUAUUGCAUACUAUUUUUUUAAUAUUUCAGUUUUGUUUUCUAGUUUUUUCUUUUUUAAUUAUAUUAUAUAUCAUAUAUUAAUAUAUUAAUCCUUUAAUUAAGUUUGUUUCAGAUAUAUUAACUUUGAGAAUCAUGUGUUUUAAGAUAAUAAAUAAUUAUAUCUUAUUGUUGAAUUUUACUGAAAAUUAUUUUUAGUUUGAUUUGUUUCAGGAAGUAUUUCAAUCAAGCAAGACACAUAUAUCUUCUCCCUUUUUCUUAAUUUAUAUUAUCUUUCUAUAGGAGGGUCCCUCAAAUAAAUCUUAUAUUUUCAUAGAGAUUUCGUAGAUAUAGAUAAGUAGUACCUUUAGCUUUUAAAAAAAAUAGGAAAAACGUUUAGAUUUUAGUAAGUAGAUAAAGAUUCUAUGAUCAAUUAAAAAAUAAAUAUAUUUCAUAAAACUUUUACUAAUUCUUUUUUGUAGUUUUUUGUUUCAGAAACCAAUGUGAAAUCAGUAUGUAAUUAAGAGAUAUUUGUAUUUUAAACAACCUCCUUGAUUUUAUUGAGAUUUUUAUGUAAAUAGGUUUUGUAUGUAGGCUCCCUAAAUAAAUCUUUAAAUUAUUA